CUUAUUACACGCAAAGGUAAUAAGCAAAUUAGAUAAAGGAAACUUUAUUUAGUUUGUAUCGGGAGGAAAUGCACGAUACA
rfam:Marine metagenome 1095469449672, whole genome shotgun sequence.